rnacentral:rRNA from 1 species
UACGUAGGUGGCGAGCGUUAUCCGGAAUGAUUGGGCGUAAAGGGUGCGUAGGCGGCCUGCUAAGUCUGGAGUGAAAGGUACCGGCUCAACCGGUACAGGCUCUGGAAACUGGCGGGCUAGAGAGCAGGAGAGGGCGGUGGAACUCCAUGUGUAGCGGUAAAAUGCGUAGAUAUAUGGAAGAACACCAGUGGCGAAGGCGGCUCUCUGGACUGUAACUGACACUGAGGCACGAAAGCGUGGGGAGCAAACAGG